GCCAGUUGGUGCAUGGCCGUUCUUAGUUGGUGGAGCGAUUUGUCAGGUUAAUUCCGGUAACGAACGUAACUCUAGCCUAUUAAAUAGACGUGCAACCGGUAUCACGAGGGCCCGCGUGCGCGUGUCCCGGCGGCGUUCACGCGUCGUCGGCGCGCGUUUCGCGGUCUUCACUACCGGCGUACAAUGAAAAUCUUCUUAGAGGGACCGGCGGUAUAUAUAGCCGCACGAGAUUGAGCAAUAGCAGGUCUGUGAUGCCCUUAGAUGGUCAU
rnacentral:rRNA from 1 species